UACGUAGGUGGCAAGCGUUGUCCGGAUUUACUGGGCGUAAAGAGCGCGCAGGCGGUCGUGCAAGUCGCGUGUGAAAGCCCCCGGCUCAACCGGGGAGUGCGGCUGCGAACUGGGUUUCUUGAGGACGAUAGAGGAGAGUGGAAUUCCUGGUGUAGCGGUGAAAUGCGUAGAUAUCAGGAGGAACACCCGAGGCGAAGGCGGCUCUCUGGGUCGUACCUGACGCUGAGGCGCGAAAGCGUGGGGAGCGAACGGG
rnacentral:rRNA from 1 species